rnacentral:rRNA from 1 species
AGCGAACGCUGGCGGCAGGCUUAACACAUGCAAGUCGAGCGGGCGUAGCAAUACGUCAGCGGCAGACGGGUGAGUAACGCGUGGGAACGUACCUUUUGGUUCGGAACAACACAGGGAAACUUGUGCUAAUACCGGAUAAGCCCUUACGGGGAAAGAUUAUCGCCGAAAGAUCGGCCCGCGUCUGAUUAGCUAGUUGGUGAGGUAACGGCUCACCAAGGCGACGAUCAGUAGCUGGUCUGAGAGGAUGAUCAGCCACAUUGGGACUGAGACACGGCCCAAACUCCUACGGGAGGCAGCAGUGGGGAAUAUUGGACAAUGGGGGCAACCCUGAUCCAGCCAUGCCGCGUGAGUGAUGAAGGCCCUAGGGUUGUAAAGCUCUUUUGUGCGGGAAGAUAAUGACGGUACCGCAAGAAUAAGCCCCGGCUAACUUCGUG